AUGAAAUUGCAUAGUUACCACCCAAGUUCAGCAAAGGUUGAAGGAGCAAGACAGAAUCGUCCGGCAAUGAGCUCAGAUGAGCAAGACCCGGGAACAACCACACCCGGCAACGACCACCUCCAGCUGGCCUGCACUCAGCAGGCGUCGACAACAAGCUAUCACCCCCCACGCGUGGCGCGGCUGUUCUGUGCACACAGAGCUUUUGCGACACGCAGAAGGAGGGCAGGCGCACUAGUGGAGGGACAAGACGUAAGGGAUGAAUCACUCGCUCACUCCGCCGCAUGGCGCACACCUGUAUGGAGACGUGUCAUGCUCCACCCAGGCGGCACCAUGGGCGGUUGUGACAAGACAUGCAUUCGUUCACGGAAGACAGAAGACGACAACACAUCAUCACGCAUUUAA
rnacentral:rRNA from 1 species